UACGGAGGGUGCUAGCGUUGUUCGGAAUCACUGGGCGUAAAGGGCGUGUAGGCGGUCUGUUAAGUCUGAUGUGAAAUCCCCUCGCUCAACGAGGGAACUGCGUCGGAUACUGGCAGACUCGAGUACCGGAGAGGAAGGUGGAAUUCCCGGUGUAGCGGUGAAAUGCGUAGAUAUCUGGAGGAACACCGGUGGCGAAGGCGGCAUCCUGGACCAAUAUUGACGCUGAGGAGCGAAAGCCAGGGGAGCAAACGGG
rnacentral:rRNA from 1 species